rfam:Canis lupus familiaris chromosome 3, whole genome shotgun sequence.
GCCUGGUUGGCUUAGUGGUUGAGUAUCUGCCUUUGGCUCAGGUCGUGAUCCCAGGGUUCUGGGAUCCAGUCCCACAUCAGGCU